rnacentral:snoRNA from 1 species
ACCUCCUACUUCUGCCCCACAUUCAGACUUCUAUUGAAUAAUGGGUUCUGGUGAAGGAGCAAAGUAAGUUAUGUGGUGACUUUGUAUCCGUUGCGUGGCUUAAUGCUCAUAAAGUAAGAUCAUUGAGCCUGAUCAGUCCCACUACAGUU